CUCAGCAGGAGCCGAAAUUGCUGAGUGAUGUUAAAGGUGGUCUGCGGAGAGCGCUGACGGAGGGCUUUCUGUGCCGGCGCUGGAAGGUGUAGCAAGCGGAAAGGAGCGCACUAAGAGGAGCUCACGGGAAAACCCACGAGCCUUGCACUUUGUCAUUUACACGCGGUCCUGUUAUGCAACCGGCUGGUGACGCGGGUGGAGCUCUGGGUUUGGGAGGUGGUAGCAGGGAAAGCCCGGUCCCACGGCUGCCCCGCUCCCUUCACCGUUACAGGGACAGCGUUCCACGGGGCUGAGGUGGGCGCUAAGCGCCAUUUCCCUCGUCUGAAAUACCUUCGUGCAGAACGAAAUAGCCCGGAGGUGGACGGGGCACGGACAGCACAAAGCAGAGCAGCGAAGCCGUGGGGUGGUGGGAUAAGGGCAGCUCCCAGCACAGCCCCAGCCUCGGCUCUCCAUGAGCACUGCUGCUGUGCCAAUGGUUUUGACUUGACUUCGGCGUUAGCUCAGAUGUAUCCCAGCGAGGCUUCUCCCUCCCAAAGCCCUUCUUCUUAUCUCCUAUGAGAUGGCUUUCUUUUAAUAAAUCUCACUUUUCUAAAAG
ensembl:lncRNA